GCCUAUGGCCACACUACCCUGAACGUGCCUGAUCCCGUCUGAUCUCAGAAGCUAAGCAGGGUCGGGCCUGGUUAGUACUUGGAUGGGAGACCACCUAGGAAGACCAGGCGCUGUAGGUG
rnacentral:rRNA from 1 species